UUUUAAAAAUUUUUUUUUACUCACAUUACGAACGGCGUGUCUUCUGUGUUUUUCUGAUUUUUUUCCGGCUGCAUGUCUAACACCAAAAAUUGAAAGAAUUGAUUUGAAGACGCGUCAACUUCACCAAAUCUCUGCUAAGACACGAAUGAAGAAAUUAUAUAUGAAAGGCCUGGUUACAUAUGAGAAGAGUACGCUGAGAGCAAGAAAUAUUAGAGUUAUCAUCACGUUUACAACAACAAACCCAUGCGAAUGGAUAAAUGAUUGUUCUGAUAAGAAAGUCGGCAACAAUCUUGUAUUCCAUAAGAACAGAAGAAACAGAAUAACUGUGGUGAAAUGUGCAAAACGGAUUAUAAUCAAAAACAGAAGAUUACAUAUAUACAAACACCAUGCAAUGGGCCCUUAUCUGAAAGUUUGAUGAUGAUUACAAAAGUUUGAUAUGGUGAAAAACAAGAGCUAUUCUUCAGUUUUAAACUUAUCCGAAAAAUAUAAAUGAAGAACAAUUAAAACUUGCUGAAGAGCUUGAAACGUACAGUAUUCGGAUGUCAUUCCAGCAGGUCCAUUGGAAUAGAAUACAUUUUCCGACCGAACUUUAUUUUACAGUGUUUUGAGAGAGAGAUAGUGUGCUCAAUAUCAUAAAAUAUUAGAAAUUUGAUCGAAACUCUCCCACACUAAUAUCCAUCAAACUCAGUUUUAAACUAUAGAUUUAACUGAAAACGAUGAUCGUAUAACACUUGUAUUAUAAUGUUAUAUUGGGAAUGCAACUAUUAUAAACAUAUAUUUUAGUAAUACUAGGCAAUAUUAUUAUAAUUAUAAAAAAAGAAAUUCAAAUCAAAGGAAAUCGAUUUAU